GAUGCCAAAAACUUGUUGAUGAAGAAAGGGCUUUUGCUCGUGCUGAAAUUGAGAGUGCCAAAGCUGCUGUUCGAAGGGUAGAAGAGGCCCUUCAGGAGCAUGAACGUACAUCUCGAGCAUCAGGAAACAAGACUUGGAAGGAUUAAUGAAAGAGGUUCAAGAGGCCAGGCGGAUCAUUAUGCUGCAUCAGCGAAGUAAGGUCAUGGACAUGGAAUAUGAGUUGCACGCUUUGAGGAAUCAACUUGCAGAGAAGUCCAAGCGUUCACUUGAGCUUCAAAAAGAGCUUUCAGUGAUGAGAAAGGAGAGAUGAGCUUGCUUCUAUAUGAGUUAGAAGGAGCGAAGCACUGGGUUCCUAUCUGCAGAUUGUGCCAUGCUCUGACAGCGCUCCAGGACUAUCUGAAUGUACAAUUCAGUGGCACCGGAUGUCAUGUGAAGGUGGCGAAAGGAACUUAUAUCAGGAGCUACCAAACCUAUCUAUGCUCCAGAGCCCUUUGAUGUGGGGCGACUACUGCAAGUUGAUGUUGUUUUUGAUGACCAAUGCAUUGCCUUGACAACCACUGGUCCGAUUGACCCAA